rnacentral:rRNA from 1 species
CCGGUAAACGGCGGCCGUAACUAUAACGGUCCUAAGGUAGCGAAAUUCCUUGUCGGGUAAGUUCCGACCUGCACGAAUGGCGUAAUGAUGGCCAGGCUGUCUCCACCCGAGACUCAGUGAAAUUGAACUCGCUGUGAAGAUGCAGUGUACCCGCGGCAAGACGGAAAGACCCCGUGAACCUUUACUAUAGCUUGACACUGAACAUUGAGCCUUGAUGUGUAGGAUAGGUGGGAGGCUUUGAAGUGUGGACGCCAGUCUGCAUGGAGCCGACCUUGAAAUACCACCCUUUAAUGUUUGAUGUUCUAACGUUGACCCGUAAUCCGGGUUGCGGACAGUGUCUGGUGGGUAGUUUGACUGGGGCGGUCUCCUCCUAAAGAGUAACGGAGGAGCACGAAGGUUGGCUAAUCCUGGUCGGACAUCAGGAGGUUAGUGCAAUGGCAUAAGCCAGCUUGACUGCGAGCGUGACGGCGCGAGCAGGUGCGAAAGCAGGUCAUAGUGAUCCGGUGGUUCUGAAUGGAAGGGCCAUCGCUCAACGGAUAAAAGGUACUCCGGGGAUAACAGGCUGAUACCGCCCAAGAGUUCAUAUCGACGGCGGUGUUUGGCACCUCGAUGUCGGCUCAUCACAUCCUGGGGCUGAAGUAGGUCCCAAGGGUAUGGCUGUUCGCCAUUUAAAGUGGUACGCGAGCUGGGUUUAGAACGUCGUGAGACAGUUCGGUCCCUAUCUGCCGUGGGCGCUGGAGAACUGAGGGGGGCUGCUCCUAGUACGAGAGGACCGGAGUGGACGCAUCACUGGUGUUCGGGUUGUCAUGCCAAUGGCACUGCCCGGUAGCUAAAUGCGGAAGAGAUAAGUGCUGAAAGCAUCUAAGCACGAAACUUGCCCCGAGAUGAGUU